rnacentral:rRNA from 1 species
UACGGAGGGUGCAAGCGUUAUCCGGAUUCACUGGGUUUAAAGGGUGCGUAGGUGGGCAGGUAAGUCAGUGGUGAAAUCUUUGGGCUUAACCCGAAAACUGCCUUUGAUACUAUUUGUCUUGAAUAUUGUGGAGGUCAGCGGAAUAUGUCAUGUAGCGGUGAAAUGCUUAGAUAUGACAUAGAACACCAAUUGCGAAGGCAGCUCACUAAGCAAAUAUUGACGCUGAGGCACGAAAGCGUGGGGAGCAAACAGG